UAAGAAGAUCAAAUCUUGUGUACGUAAUCCACAGGAAUAAUUGUUACUUUCUGAUCUGGGCAACUUGUUUUUAACAUAUGUCUAAAUGUCAUCUCAUGAAUUUUCUAUCUAUUGCAAUUUUCUGAGAUAAACUUGCAUGGAUUUUUCUCUUACUUUGGGUGUCAUUUGACAUUGAUUUUGUUACCAGGCCAUAAAUCUGUAUGGAGGGUUAUACUGAAUUGUUAAUAUUUUAUUUUUUUAGACCACUUUCUGUAUUAAAUUUAACUUUUUUUCCCCACCCCCCUCUUCUUAGCAUUCCAAUUCCUACAUAGUGUUUCUAGAGCCAUUGGCAGUGUGGGAAUAGAUUUUAGUUCAAGGCCAGAAUGAGCUAUGAAUGUUAAUGAGUUUUUAUACUGCUCAUUUGAGUCCAAAGCCAUCUUUUGGUACUUUCUCCUCCGUGUGCCUUUUCCUUGGGCCUUACCCUUCACAUGGAUUCCAUAAGUGGAAGGAGAGCUAGCACUUCCUUCCCAGGUCUGCCUGCUGAGUUUUAUAUUUCUACAUUUAUAUUAUAUUCUACAUUAUAUUCUAUGUUUCUUGAGCCAUCAGACUGAACUUUUGUGCUCCCCAGGAAGAUAGGUAGCUUGACCUGUAAUGAGGAAGAGAACCUGAGGAGGAAUGGUUCCUAGAUGCCAUUUCCCCCCUCAUUAUGGCAUGAGGGGAAAGGAAGAGGAGAUCUUCAGAGGCCAUGGAGACAAGAAUCUCAAGAGGUGAGAAUGAAGAUGAUGAUACAGGGAAGAUGCAACAGGACAAGCCUUGCUAAACUCAUUGUUACCCUGGUGGCUCUGAAGGAUUCCAGUAGCACAGCUUCUUUGGAGGAUAUCAACAUUCACUUGGUACCGUGCUGAGUGCCGCAUAAAAGAAAACUUCAGAGGAAAAAAAUUACAAGACAUCAAAGGAAAAUAGUAACAAAGCAUUUGAAAUAAAGUUAGCGGAUAUCAUUGUUCAAAACAGUGUCACCGCAAAAUUGAUUCAGAAAUCGGUUGAAACAAUAUCACAAGAAAAGUAAAUAUAGGCAGUCAGUGCAAAAUAGUAGCACAGAUUGUACAGCUGUUCCAUAUCAAGAAGUAAAUGUAAAACAUGACAUGAUCAUCUUAUACUUCUCAAGUUACUGUGGGUGUUUGAAGAAAGUGUGUGUAUGAGGGAUAUCAAUUCCACUUUCAAGAAAGUAUUUAAAAAAAUCACAAGAUUUAAUGAUAGGAAAUUUGUGCAGGAAGUAUGGAACAGAAAUUAUACCAUUUGCUUAAACUAUACAGUAAAAUGUACAGAAUACUUUUUCUUUUUAAGCAGCUAUGUCAUCAUGACUCACUGCUUUAGGGAAUUUUCUGUGGGCAAUAGGCACAUACUACCAUCAGUAAAUUUCUUUUGAAGAGA